rnacentral:rRNA from 1 species
UACGAAGGGGGCUAGCGUUGUUCGGAAUUACUGGGCGUAAAGCGCACGUAGGCGGGUUGUUAAGUCAGGGGUGAAAUCCUGGAGCUCAACUCCAGAACUGCCUUUGAUACUGGCAACCUAGAGACUGGAAGAGGUUAGUGGAAUUCCCAGUGUAGAGGUGAAAUUCGUAGAUAUUCGCAAGAACACCAGUGGCGAAGGCGGCUCACUGGCCCGGUACUGACGCUGAGGCACGAAAGCGUGGGGAGCAAACAGG